rnacentral:lncRNA from 1 species
ACAAGACAACCAUUAUAAUUGUGGGGUGCUAUGGCCCUGUUCAGUCUCCACCACAGCUACCUGGAGAAGUUAUUUCCACACCGUCCUGGCCAAACAAAUCAGUCAGCCAUUUCUGAGGGAGGCCAACCCCUGUAGUGUAUCUCUGCCAGGCAGGCAGGCAGAUGCCACCUUCUGACAAGGAGCUCCUGAGGUUUAGUAAGAGGAACUCCAGCUUCCAGACUCCUUGUUUUUGCCACUGUUCCCUUUCCUGCUCAGUCAAGUUUUCCUGCAUGCCCUGCUCAUGACCUAGAGGCAGGUCUCUUUCUUUGCCUUUUGCUUUUUGCUUCUGGAUUGGAAGCAUGUCCAAAAAAACAAAUCAAAUAAUCUAUAAAUUGACAAAAGCAAAUAUUUGGCAUUAACUGUGGCCACCCAGUUUCUGAAUACCUUAGUACAUCUAGGCAAUUCUUCCCCACAUUAUCAGUCUUGUUGUGAAGUGCAGAGACCAAGAAAACAAUACCAAGAAGAUCUCUCAAAACCAUAAAAUUACAUAGAGUCAGUGUCUUGCUCUAACAUGAACUUCACGGAAUCUGACAAUGGUAAAACAAAAUCGGCCCCCAAGUCAAAGCUUACAAUGUUGCACCCACUAGAUAGAGCAAUUCUUGAUUAUCCAACCCAAAUAUGCUUUUAUAUUUUUAUUUUCCCCUUGAUACUAUCAUGUGCAUUUUGCUACUUAACUCUGGGUAGGAAUCUGGGGAUCUUUUUUCUUCACCAGCUUCAGCUACUUACUACACACAUGGUUUUGAGUUUAAAGUCCUGUAAAGCUUUAAAACUCACUAACUCUACCAUAUACAUAACUAUUAUUUUAUUUCGUUAAAAAAUUCAGAUGAUUUGAACAUGUUUCGUCUGCAGAAAUGAAGACUAGAAUAGGCAUGGCAGCGUUUUCAUUUUGUGUCAAGCCCUCAGACUAAGAAAUUAGUUAGUGAUGACAGAGGGAGAAGCAAAAGCUUUAAAUUUCUAAGUAAGGUAAUAGCUACAUAUGAGAAAAUGACUUAAAAGGUGGCUAAGAGCAACCAUAAUUAUCCAAAGCCCUUAUAUGGCCAAUUCCAUGAUACACAUAAUACCAAAGACCAUGUUUUUACUGGUCUUGUUUGGAGACAAGUUGUGAUAGCAACCAUAAGCAUAUUAUCUACCAUUUAUGUCACACUUAUUGUCUGCCAGACACUGAUUUCUGUUUUUCAUGUAUAUUAUAUCUCCCCUCUAACUGUGAAAGUUAUAUAUUUUUACCUUCAUUUUAAGAUUACAAAAUUGAGACAAUCUGCCUCCGGACCUCUAGAUAGAUGGAUUUCAAAGCCAAGAAUAUUGGCCCCCAAACAUAUCACUAUGUGACACUGGCUUUCAAAUAAAAAGGCACUGGGGAAUAAUAACCAGUUAAAGUACUCAUUGAAGAUGCACUCAUCCUGCUUAGAAAUUCAGGUCUUUAGGCACCAGAGGUGACUUUACCAAAGACUGAGCUGUGAGCUUCCUGAAUAUGUAUGGAAUCUGCUACCACAGGCCCCACUUUGGGCCCCAGCAGGUAUUUCUAAUUAUCCUGCCUCAUUCCCCUACCAACUUAACUGCCUUCUGUAAAAGGGUGAAAGACGUUUGUAAAGAAGAACUAGACCACCCAAAUCAUUUAUCUUGUAAGCUCCAAGAGGGCAGGGACUUUAUUUUAUUCUUUAAUGACUUUCCCAUAAUUGGAUGAGUGCCAGGCUCAAACUAGGUAUCCAAAAACUACAGCACUUCAUGAAUGAAUCAACAAAUGACUCUGACACAGAUUCUGUGGUCAGUACACCUGAUCAGUCACAUAGAUACCCUCCUUGGUUUUAUGUUGAUACUAGAUAAAGAAACCAGAGCCUCUUUCUUCAAUAGAACAUCUUUUACUUCUGCUUUACAAAUGACACGGUCACAGUUCCUGAUUGCAAAGUAAAAAC